GCAGGAUCUAAGGCAAGCGGUAUGAGAGAGGCAAAGCAGGAAGCGACGCCGCAUUCCCUUUCAAACCCUGUAUUCAUGUCGCCGAAACCGAUCGAGCGGUGCGAGCUGUUUGUUUUGGGCGUUGAUGAAAACACGUGGGAGAAUCAGUAGGCUAUAUAUGUCUAGAGAAGUGGGAGCUCUAUGGCACAACGCGGUGUCUCUUAAGAGAUGGCGAUCGAGCACGGACGAGCUGGAUCUGAAGACUGCACUGUGUUAAUGGAGUCGAACCCAGGCGGUCUGAGGAGGAGAGAGUACCGCUCUCUGCAGAAACAGAUGUGCUGCCUUCAAUUCAUGACGGUGUCUUUCUGCCUCGCGUGCUGUCUGCUCACGCUCAUGUAUCAUGCGAACCCAUCAGGAUGCAAGGACAAUGAAAUGUUAAAGCCUCCUAUGAUAGCAAUGCAGAAACAGACUCUUGGAUCGAACAGCAGUGAAGAAACUUCUCACGAGCCAAAACCCACACCUUUCAUUCGUGUGACAACACGAGCCAUCUAUGUCUCUGGUGAAGGUUACGUGACAUGGCGGCUUCCAGGAGACCACGUGAACCACAUCGAAUUCUUCUCUUUGGAUAGCGACGGUGAAUCUCUGAUAGUGCAUCGUGGCGGGACCUACAAAGUGUCUCUGCAGAUCUUGUACAGGGGAGUUCAAGAACAGCGCAGUGGUCAAACCCUCCUGUCGCACGAAAUUCGCCGUUACACAGCCGGAUACCCCAUACCCCUUACGAUGCUCGUCUACAAGGAAACAAUCAACUUUAUGUCUCACAUGUGGAGGAAAACUCUGUUCUCAGAAGGCGUUUAUUCUCUGGAAGCUGGAGAUAGACUCAAGCUCAGUGGUUAGAGUAUGGCACUGACAACCCCAAGGUCAUGGGUUCGAUCCCAGGGAUUGCACAUAAUUAGAAACAAAAAUGUGCAGUAUAGUAUAUGCAAUGAAAAGAAGUUUUGCUACAAGUGUUUGAAAUCUUGAGAUGAAACAGGACAGAUCCAACCAAUAAUGCUUCCUGUCUGAGGUUUACAUGCCUGACACAGUAAACCAAGUGAGUCAUGACUGGUAAGAGACACUCCCUUUCUAGUUUGGGAUAUGAAAAAGUCUUCAGGCACAUGACUCAACAGCCUAUUGCAUCACAUCCUGUAAUAGUUGAAAUGCUUUCUCUAGGUUGUUAUGCAGCCACUUUCACAUUUGCAUUCAUGUGGCAUGAAUUGUUAUGGUUGCAGAGAACAUAAACAAUGACUAAAUCCAUUUGUAAAUAUUGUUGUAUAUGUUCGUUUUUCUGUUCUAGUAAUGUUAGUAAAAAAAAGUCAACACAUCCUGAUAAGAUUGAGUGAGAAAUUGAUUUCUGAUUUUACAUCAGAUUAAAAAUGUUGCGUGAGAUACUAUUAUAAAUACUCACAAAAAACAUUUAAACAUCCAAGAAACAUGCAUCUCUGUGUGUCUGUGUGCCCGUUUCUGUGUGAGGCACUGAAUAAAACCAGACCGAGGCCGUUUCUCAAUUCCAAGAACGCAAAGAAUGGACUUGGACCCGUCUUGCAAGGCAGCCUUGGAAAAACAUACUCGGAUGGACGGAUUUGGAAUGCACAAGUCUGCAUUCUUGCAUCCUUGAUAUCAAGAACACAUCCGGGUACUUUCAUGCGUUCUCUGUUCUUGAGUAUUGGAACCGGACUUUGGUGGUUAUUGAUAAAGUAGAGCGAGAACACAAGGACACAAGACCGCUAAGAACACAUAUUAAGAAACGGCCCUAAUUUGAUGCAUUGGAUGAUGACUUGAUUUCUUGAAGGUUUUGUUCAAAGUCAAUCACACUUGAGAUGUAUCAUUCCAAGGGAAUCGAACCUGCUGGCCUUGUAGCGGAUGAGAGGAAAAUAUCAUCACUGUGGGACUGAAACCUCACAUCUCCAUUUUUUGGUGAAUAAAUCACAGAUAUUGACCAAUCAGAAUCAAGGACUGCACUUAACCGUUUUAUAAAAAGUAAUAAAAAGAUCUUGUGAACAAGCCAAAGAAUCCGUUUUUUUUUCAUUUCCUGUAAAGUGGCAUUUUUGGAGAUAUGAGGUUUCAGUCGGAGAGCAAUAUCUUUAGCGAUAAUCAUAUAUUGCAUCAUAUGUACAUUCAGAGCAAUUGUUCCAAUCCCAUGGUUUAUUUUUAAGUACAACAGCUGUCUGGUUAAAAAUGAGCAAGCUCCUGGUGAGCCUGACGCACAACAGUGGUUAUAAAGUUCACAAAGACCACAAGCUAUUUGAGAAUAUAUCUAAAAAUGCACCGAGUGGGUGGAGAGCUGUUUUAUUUGCACUCAGCUUGUUCCUAAAAUGCCCGUUUACUCAUAGGUGGUUUGUAUCUGCUAGGAAUCCGAACCUGAACUCCGACCUCCGUCUUUUACAAGUUAUGCCAUUUAUUAUACGACAUCAAUCCUUAUUAGGGUACACCGAUUGCUCCCUGUUAAAUCAUUUACCGGUAUUGCAUAAGAAAAAUAUGCUCAUCUACUGUAAAUGUUUGAUGAUGCUCUUAUACUUCAUCACAUUCUAACACAAAGUGAGUGCAGUCAUUAACUUAUUUUACGAUCCAAGAAGGAUUCGUGUUGAUAGCAACUUUCACUUAGUGGUGUCCUCUGAUCAUGUGGAGGGUAUUUUCAAUCAAAUAACUUAAGGAUGGUUUCCAACCUUAAUUUUGGAUGAGUUGCACUCAGUUUUAUGUUUGCCAGUUUUAUUCUCUAUUUAUAUGCUUAGCUCCUAUGUUGCCUAGCAACUGCAAAGAUCCUACAGGGAGGAAAAUGCAUGCAUUUGGUAAUCACUUUUACGUAAAGUGACAAAGUGCAUUUAAGAUAUAAGUAUAUACCUUAUAUGGGGUGUUCGUGUAGUUCAACUGAUAGGGCAUUGCAUUAGCAAUGCAAAAGAUAAUGGGUUUGAUUCCCUGGGAAAACAAAAACUGAUAAAAACACUAUACUCUUAAAUGCACUACAAGUCGCUUUGGAUAAAAGUGUCGGCCAAAUGUAUAAAAAUUGUUAUCAGUAUGUGUGCUCCCUUGGAUCAAACUCAUAACCUUUGUUCUGCUAAUGCAAUUGAGCUACUGUAGAAGAACACCUGUCGUUAGAAAUGAAAAGUUGAGAUUAUUACUAAUACUGACACUAAACUAUAUUUAUCAUAGGAGUCUUUCAUCACAUUGCUGCGCUACCACUUCACAUAAAAGCUUCACAUACCCUAGAAACGCCUCUUGUAAAAUCACUGCAACACAAAGUCCCACGGCUGUUUUCUUAAUCACCUAAUACUACGAAUACUCAGCAUUGUUUCUAUUUUUUAAGAAAGGAUUCUUCAAUGGAAUGGAAAUCGUUGCCAUUAUUGCAGAGUUACUUAGAAUGAAACUAGAACGAGUGAAACUGUCGCUGGGACACGUGUAGGUGUCAAGGAGACACCUACACAUGGAGAAAGAGGCAGGUGAAGUUACAAUUGCAUAAUGAUCUGUACUAAGUUGUGGGGUUUCCCCUUUUGCCAUUGUUAUUUGCUGUCUUGCAUGAAACACCAGGAACCGUUCCUUCGUUCUACCUAGAAGAUGACGACAUGUUUAAACAUUUGACCCUAACAAAUACAGCAAACAGCAUGUGUUUGUGUAGAAAAACAGAAAGCAAACAAUUUUAUUGUCACUAAAGCCAUGUUUACACAAUGAAAAUGCAAAAAGUUUCACGAACACACAAAAAUGUCAAAAUGAAAAAUGCAAAAAGUUUCACGUACACACAAAAACGUCAAAACGAUCAGAGUUUACAAGGAUCAGCGAAAACCAAUAAAAACGCGCUAUGCAUGCCAGGAGGCCGCCAUUGUUUUAGAAAUGCUUGUGCAUGCACACAUAAUACGUAUGCGAAUAACGUCAGCGUUUUCACAUUUUAGAAUUUUCACCCGUUUUCAAAGUUUACACAGAGUCAACCACAGCAUCGUUUUCAAAAACGUGCACUUUGAAACCUGUUUUCAAGUUUGCAUUUUCAGUCCCCCAAAAUGGUGUUUUCUUGUAAACCAACAAGCAAAACACAUAAAAAGUUUUCUGUUUUUAGUUGAAAAAGUUGUCAUAUAAACAGCCCUUAAAUAUCUUGAGUGGAAGACGAUUUGGAUUAACACUGUGACUGAAAAAAUGUGCAUGCAUUAUUGACUUCAUAAAAAGCAUUAGGCUACAAUAGUUAUUCUUUAAAUCCUUACUAAGAUAAACCCAAACAACUCUAUAAAAUCAAUGUACACUGAAAUUAAAUGUAGAGUCGAACUAUAUUUUGCUAUCCUCUUUGCUAUCUAUAAGGUAAAAGAAGGUGCAGACUCUUCCCUUGAACUACCAAGCCAUACUGCAAAAAUCAAAACAAUGAUGAUGAUCCUGUAUUGAGGGCAGGCUUUCCCAGUUGCAUCUUAACUGAAUGUUGGUGAUGACAUAUCUCUCUGCUACGAUGAAAGACAUCAGGUUCAAUUACAUGCUCAGUGAAACUAUUUAGCCACCCAGUUGUAUUAUAUUGCAGUAUCUGUAGCUCUUCUGACUGAAGGGAAAGUUUGUAAGAAAGAAUCUGAACAAUCAAAUGUCUUUGUGCGCUACUGUAAACUAUGCGGUUUCAAAAAGACUUAGAAUUCUUGUGUGGGUGCGAUGAAACCAUUAGCUCAGACAGAUUAAAGCAGUGGUUCUAAACCUUUUUUGAGUACUGGACCCCAUCAAACCAUCCUCAUGGACACCCAACCCCCACGCUCACGCUCACAUUAGUGUUGUUUUUGGCGGCCUGUUUUAAUUUUAGUUUUAGUCUAGUCUUUGUGUCAAGCUGUCAUUUUAGUUUUUAUUAGUUUUAGUCACGUUCAUACUCUUUUUAGUCUAGUCAAGUUUCAGUCGACUAAAAGGCUUAGCAUUUUAGUCUUAUUUUAGUCAGAAUUAUCCAUGACUGUUUUCGUCUAGUUUUAGUCGACGAGAACUGAUGACAUUUACUCUAGUUUUAGUCAAUGAAAAUUGUAUUUUAGUCUCUUUUUAGUAAUGCAAUUCUAUUUAACCCAGUCAAUACAGUAUAAGUACCUAGUAGUAUAGACGAAACCAAAAUUUUCUUUUAGCCAAACCCAUUUCAAACAAGGUUAUCUUAUUAUAUUAUUGUUACCUUAAUGACUCAAGAAUACAUCCAUUCCAGACACGGAAGAUGCUCUGAUUUUAAUUUUAAGCCAUCGUUAGGGGUGGGAAUCUCGAGGCACAUCACGAUGCGAUUACGAUUCAGAGGGCUGCGAUGCAAUGAUAAAACGAUUCUCGAUGCAGCUUUUUCCUAUACAAAUUUUAUUUGUCUUGCUGUGUGAUUAUUAAAAUCAAAGUACGUGAACGUACCCAUAACAAUUUUACUUCCAAUAUCCUUUAUUAAUAAAACAAAUGGAAGUGAUUUCGCAAGUCAACUGAAAGGUUACAUUUGCCAGCAUUGCAAAGAACCAACAGGAAAAGAGUGACUGCCCUCAGUGCCGUGUAGUAGCAUACAGAAUGCAGUAAAUUAAUGCAGACUUUUUUUGCACAUAGCACUGGAGCUAAAGAGGUUUAAAGUUUGGUAGCACAGGCCAAACAGUAGGAGCACAAGUAUAAAUUGUCAGUUGUCAUCAUUAUAAAAAAUUAUGCAAGUGCAGUUCAUCAUGAAAAGGCAGGUAACUGACAAAAGACAUUCAUGUUACAUACAGAUGGAUAAAUUAGGGCCAUGUAAUUUUUACACUACUUUAAUUUUUUCUAAUUUUAAAUUUCUAAAUUUGUGUGUUUUUCCUUUUUUACUAUACAAUAGUGGUAUAUUUGUCCACAUAAAUUACUGUAGUAUACUAUUGUAUUUACUAUAGUAAACUACAGUAAAAUUCUUAGAUACUAUCGUGUUUUUGAACUUUACUAUAGUAUACAGUGUUUAUCAAUUUACUACAAGGGCACUACAAUUUUCAAUAGCAAAUACUAUAGUUCACUAAAGUAUUUUUUGUCUGAGUGUUCAAUUUAACGGGACUUUUAUUUUGACGGGUCUUUGGGGAGACGCUUGUUUGCCGAUAGCUUCACUCAAACAGUAAACGCUCAUAAAAUAAACUCUCAGAGCAACUCUGACUGGAGAUGAAGUUCAUUUGUUCAUAUCCUCAUACAGUGCAGACCCAGAUAAAUCCUGGACCAUCACUCGUGUUGUAUGUUAAACCGGGCACAUAAUUCACUCAGACGCGCAGAACAGCCAGAUGACAUUUAAAUAACAGGAUUCCGCUCAACAUCUAGGUUAAAGCAUAAGGCGAAAUAACGUUAUAACAUUUCGUCUCGUCUCGUUUUGGUCAACGAAAAUGAAGAGACAUUUUAGCAUAGUUUUUAUUUUGUAAACCACAUUUAGUCUCGUUUUUAUUCGUCAACAAUAUUGCAUUAUACAUUUAAUUAUAGUCAUCGUCACAUGACCAGCAUUUACGUUGCGUCUCGUCUCGUUUUCGUCACGUGAUAAAGGUUCGUUGACGACCAUAUUUAGUCAUAAUUUUCGUUGACGAAAGCAACACUAGCUCACACCCCAUCCCAUUUACUUUCCCCAGCACAACAACAUAUUUCCACUAAAUUAGGAAAAUAAAAAGAUUCAAAAGUCAAAAAAUUAUGAAAGUGAAAGUGACCUAUUACAUAGCUAAUGAACAGCAGCUACGCUAAUUAUUCUCUUUCUGUUUCUGCCCUCGGCAUCCCGAGGUAGGGAGAGAUUCCGCCAGGCCCAGAUGAACGUCAUAUGCCCAUCCACAACUAGAGAUUACGCCAGCUACAUCGGAAAAUCCCGUGCCAUCAUCCUGCGAGAGCCUGCGGACUGACUGACCAUCCAGCUCCAUCCAAGGCAAUUCCAUCACCACCCAAGAAAAAGGCGACCAUCUGGCCGGCCCAGCUCAGACAAUUCCAUCCCCAACCGAGAGCAAAGACGGACUACCUGUCACAUAAAUGCUAAAUUUACAAUACUUGGUAUUUAAUGCUAAACUUACAUCACAUGACAGCAGUUUGAAGUUAUGGCUGCACUCAGUGACUUUGAUUGGAGGUAGCUGGGUGGGUGUUGUAGGGAGUGGGGGGGCUUGUUGGUUGUGGUUCGGGGCGUUUCAUUUGUUGGGACUGUGUGGGUCUGGUCUGGUUGGUCUUGUUUUGUGGUUGAUGUCGGACAACAGAGGAAUAAAGUUAAUUAUGCCAUUACUACUUUUCCCUGGUUGUCCCUCUGUUGUCUGUUGUUGACCACGGAAUGGGACCGGGUUGGACCUGCACGGUUUCGGCGGGUGGGGCUUCCUGGGUCGCGGCUCGUGGGCUCUCCCUGUUCUUCGUGGACGUUGCUCGGUGGCUUUGGUCGGGGUCACUGAGUGCAGCUAUGACACGUCAGAGGAGAUCUGGCCCUCCCGGCUGAGCCUGGUUUCUCCCGAGGUUUUUUUUUCUCCAUUAUUCAGCAUUGGAGUUUGGGUUCCUCGCCACAGCAGAGCAGUGCAGUGUUGGCUUGCUCACCGGGAGACUGCAUUUAUUUAUUUAUUUAUUCAUUUAUUUAUUAGAUAUUAUUUAUUAUAAUGAUCUUGCUUGGUCUAUAAACACCAUGCACUGUGCUGUGUUUUACCUUUCUGUGUUUUUCUUAUUUGCUCCUGUAAAGCUGCUUUGGAACAAUGCACAUUGUGAAAAGCGCUAUAUAAAUAAAAUUGAAUUGAAUUGAACCUAUUAGUCAGAUAUGGUGACCCAUACCCAAAAUGUGACCUCUGCAUUUAACCCAUCCAGAGAGUAGUGAACACACGCACAGCAAGUGGUGAACACACAUACACCCGGAGCAGUGGGCAGCUAUCACUGCAGCGCCUGGGGAGCAAGUAGGGGUAAGGUGCCUUGCUC